rnacentral:rRNA from 1 species
GUUAGUUGGUGGGGUAAAGGCCUACCAAGACAAUGAUGCAUAGCCGAGUUGAGGACUGAUCGGCCACAUUGGGACUGAGACACGGCCCAAAUUCCUACGGGAGGCUGCAGUAGGGAAUCUUCCACAAUGGGCGAAAGCCUGAUGGAGCAACGCCGCGUGUGUGAUGAAGGCUUUCGGGUCGUAAAGCACUGUUGUAUGGGAAGAAAAGUUAAGGUAGGGAAUGACCUUAGCCUGACGGUACCAUACCAGAAAGGGACGGCUAAAUACGUGCCAGCAGCCGCGGUAAUACGUAUGUCCCGAGCGUUAUCCGGAUUUAUUGGGCGUAAAGCGAGCGCAGACGGUUGGUUAAGUCUGAUGUGAAAGCCCGGAGCUCAACUCCGGAAAGGCAUUGGAAACUGGUUAACUUGAGUGCAGUAGAGGUAAGUGGAACUCCAUGUGUAGCGGUGGAAUGCGUAGAUAUAUGGAAGAACACCAGCGGCGAAGGCGGCUUACUGGACUGUAACUGACGUUGAGGCUCGAAAGUGUGGGUAGCAAACAGGAUUAGAUACCCUGGUAGUCCACACCGUAAACGAUGAACACUAGGUGUUAGGAGGUUUCCGCCUCUUAGUGCCGAAGCUAACGCAUUAAGUGUUCCGCCUGGGGAGUACGACCGCAAGGUUGAAACUCAAAGGAAUUGACGGGGACCCGCACAAGCGGUGGAGCAUGUGGUUUAAUUCGAAGCAACGCGAAGAACCUUACCAGGUCUUGACAUCCUUUGAAGCUUUUAGAAAUAGAAGUGUUCUCUUCGGAGACAAAGUGACAGGUGGUGCAUGGUCGUCGUCAGCUCGUGUCGUGAGAUGUUGGGUUAAGUCCCGCAACGAGCGCAACCCUUAUUGUUAGUUGCCAGCAUUCAGAUGGGCACUCUAGCGAGACUGCCGGUGACAAACCGGAGGAAGGCGGGGACGACGUCAGAUCAUCAUGCCCCUUAUGACCUGGGCUACACACGUGCUACAAUGGCGUAUACAACGAGUUGCCAACCUGCGAAGGUGAGCUAAUCUCUUAAAGUACGUCUCAGUUCGGACUGCAGUCUGCAACUCGACUGCACGAAGUCGGAAUCGCUAGUAAUCGCGGAUCAGCACGCCGCGGUGAAUACGUUCCCGGGUCUUGUACACACCGCCCGUCACACCAUGGAAGUUUGUAAUGCCCAAAGCCGGUGGCCUAACCGUAAGGAGGGAACCGUC